rnacentral:rRNA from 1 species
UACGUAGGGUGCAAGCGUUUAAUCGGAAUUACUGGGCGUAAAGCGUGCGCAGGCGGUUAUGUAAGACAGAUGUGAAAUGCCCGGGCUUAACCUGGGAACUGCAUUUUGUGACUGCAUGGCUAGAGUUUGGCAGAGGGGGGGUAGAAUUCCACGUGUAGCAGUGAAAUGCGUAGAUAUGUGGAGGAACACCGAUGGCGAAGGCAGCCCCCCUGGGUCAAGACUGACGCUCAUGCACGAAAGCGUGGGGAGCAAACAGG